rfam:Peniophora sp. CONT PENSPscaffold_17_Cont28, whole genome shotgun sequence.
UCGGAUAUGGUGUAACGGCUAACAUUGCCGCCUCUCAAACAGAACGCGGCAGCUCGGGGUUCGAUUCCCCGUAUCCGAA